rnacentral:rRNA from 1 species
CGCAAGACCAAAGUGGGGGACCUUCGGGCCUCAUGCCAUCAGAUGUGCCCAGAUGGGAUUAGCUAGUAGGUGGGGUAACGGCUCACCUAGGCGACGAUCCCUAGCUGGUCUGAGAGGAUGACCAGCCACACUGGAACUGAGACACGGUCCAGACUCCUACGGGAGGCAGCAGUGGGGAAUAUUGCACAAUGGGCGCAAGCCUGAUGCAGCCAUGCCGCGUGUGUGAAGAAGGCCUUCGGGUUGUAAAGCACUUUCAGCGGGGAGGAAGGCGUUAAGGUUAAUAACC